AGCGAACGCUGGCGGCAGGCCUAACACAUGCAAGUCGAACGAACCUUUCGGGGUUAGUGGCGGACGGGAGAGUAACACGUGGGAACGUGCCUUUAGGUUCGGAAUAACUCAGGGAAACUUGUGCUAAUACCGAAUGUGCCCUUCGGGGGAAAGAUUUAUCGCCUUUAGAGCGGCCCGCGUCUGAUUAGCUAGUUGGUUGAGGUAAUGGCUCACCAAGGCGACGAUCAGUAGCUGGUCUGAGAGGAUGAUCAGCCACAUUGGGACUGAGACACGGCCCAAACUCCUACGGGAGGCAGCAGUGGGGAAUCUUGCGCAAUGGGCGAAAGCCUGACGCAGCCAUGCCGCGUGAAUGAUGAAGGUCUUAGGAUUGUAAAAUUCUUUCACCGGGGACGAUAAUGACGGUACCCGGAGAAGAAGCCCCGGCUAACUUCGUG
rnacentral:rRNA from 1 species